rnacentral:rRNA from 1 species
AUGAAGGGCUGGAAACCAAAGAUGCUGGCAAUAUCCGGAAGACUGACUCUGUGCCAAUCUGUCCUCAUGGCACUGCCUAUUCACCAUAUGUCCGUCCUUCCACUUCCAGUCUGGGCAAUCAAAUUAAUUGAACGAAGAUGCAGAAGCUUUGUGUGGAAGGGAGAGCAUCAGAUCAGCGGGGGUCACUGCCUUCUACCCUGGGCUAUGUUAUGCAGGCCCAAGGAGUUUGGCGGCCUCGGGGUUCUGAACCUGAGGAGUUUUGGUCUGGCUCUCCGCUGUCGGUGGCUGUGGAAGAAUUGGGACAAGGAGGAAAGACCUUGGAGUUUCUUUCCGGACAAGGCAGAAAAGGAAGUGGUUGCGAUGUUCAACGCAGCAUGCAAGAUAAAGCUGGGUAGCGGUCAUGACGCCCGAUUCUGGGUUGAUAACUGGCUCCCGGGCGGGAGAUCCAUCGCCUACACCGCGCAAGCUUUAUACUCAUAUGUCAAGGACAAGGGCAUGUCUAUCAGAGAGGCUCUGCCUAACAACGCCUGGGUCCGAGACAUCUAG